GGCACAGGAGGAGCACAACAAUUCCUCUGACCCAAAGCCUAUCCGGUGGAAGAAGCGCAACAGACAAGGGCUUGUUAUUCCUCAAAGGCCGCCAUCCAGUAGGAAGACCAGUUGCAUGCCACCUAAACACUCCAGAUGUGAGCCACCAGAUGUGAGUGUUGCCAAUGUCAACCCAACAAAAGUGUCUGAAACUGAGGUGCUUCGUCAAGAGCUCCUUGAGCUGCUGGUGGAUGGAGUUGAGGACCAAGUAGUGACUUGUGAG